rfam:Pteropus alecto contig49757, whole genome shotgun sequence.
GUCUACCGCCAUGCUACCCUGAACAUGCCCGAUCCCGUCUGAUCUCAGAAGCUAAGCAGCAUCGGGCCUGGUUAGUACUUGGAUGGGAGACCACCUAGGAAAACCAGGUUCUGUAGGCG